AACGAACGCUGCGGCAGGCCUAACACAUGCAAGUCGCGCGAGCAUUUCGGUGCUAGCGGCGGACGGGUGAGUAACGCGUGGGAACGUGCCCUUUUCUGCGGAAUAGUCCUGGGAAACUGGGGGUAAUACCGCAUACGCCCUUUUGGGGAAAGAUUUAUCGGAGAAGGAUCGGCCCGCGUUGGAUUAGGUAGUUGGUGGGGUAAUGGCCCACCAAGCCGACGAUCCAUAGCUGGUUUGAGAGGAUGAUCAGCCACACUGGGACUGAGACACGGCCCAGACUCCUACGGGAGGCAGCAGUGGGGAAUCUUAGACAAUGGGGGCAACCCUGAUCUAGCCAUGCCGCGUGAGUGAUGAAGGCCUUAGGGUUGUAAAGCUCUUUCAGCUGGGAAGAUAAUGACGGUACCAGCAGAAGAAGCCCCGGCUAACUCCGUG
rnacentral:rRNA from 1 species